AAAACUAUGAUUAAGAAUUUGAGCUCUAUAAAUAUAUAUAUACCUCAAUGGUAAUCUAUAUGUUUUUCUCUCCUACAUUCUUAAAGACUUCCAUCAGAAUAUAUAUAGAGUGGAUGAUCUUAAAGAUAGAAAUAUUUCAGCUCACUCAAACGAUUCUAAAAGAAAGAAAAUGUAAAUGCUUUUGAAAGAAACUGAGCUUCAAAUGAAUCAUUUUCUGAUUAAUAUUUCUAUACGUUUUCUCUAAGAUUAAGAGAAAGCAUAACUUGUUCUUGAAGGAUUAGAAAGAGUAAUUGCUAUAAAUUUUGAAUAAU
rnacentral:lncRNA from 1 species